rnacentral:rRNA from 1 species
UCUUGGUCAUUUAGAGGAGUAAAAGUCGUAACAAGGUCUCCGUAGGUGAACCUGCGGAGGGAUCAUACCGAGUUCAUGCCCUUACGGGUAGAUCUCCCACCCUAUGUUAUAUUACUUUGUUGCUUUGGCGGGCCGUCAGGCUUCGGCCAGGCUACCGGCUCCGGUGGUAAGCGCCCGCCAGAGGACCCCAAACUCUGAAUGUUAGUGUCGUCUAGUACUAUGUAAUAGUUAAAACUUUCAACAACGGAUCUCUUGGUUCUGGAUCGAUGAAGAACGCAGCGAAAUGCGAUAAGUAAUGUGAAUUGCAGAAUCAGUGAAUCAUCGAAUCUUUGAACGCACAUUGCGCCCCUUGGUACUCCGGGGGCAUGCCUGUUCGAGCGUCAUUACAACCCUCAAGCUCUGCUUGGUAUGGGCUCCGCCGCUUACCCCGCGGGCCUUAAAAUCAGUGGCGGCGUCCUAGGCUCUGAACGUAGUAUAUAUUCCUCGUUACGGAGUCCUGGCGGCGGUGUCACCAACCCCCAACUUUCUAAGUUUGACCUCGGAUCAGGUAGGGAUACCGCUGAACUUAAGCAUAUCAAUAAGCGGAGGAA